AUUAGGUUUUAUUGCCUUUUUGAUUUAAAUGCUUAGAAUUCCAAUUUGAUUAAAUGUUUUUAUAUCCAGAUUUUUCCAUUAUUAGGUUUUAUUGCCUUUUUGGUUUUAAAUGCUUAGUAUUCAAAUUUGAUUAAUUGUUUUUGUAUGCAGAUUUUUCCAUAAUUAGGUUUUGUUGCCUUUUUGGUUUUCCUCUCUAAUUGGAUUGAAUUUAAUUUCAGAUAAUCUACCAGUGAACUGAUCCAGUUUCGAGGUAAGUAUAAUUAUUUUUCUUCAUUCCACCACAUUGGUCCAUCCGGGUUGUAUGUAGGUCUUUUGGUUCUUUGUUCGUCUAUGUCAAUUAAGCUCAAACAGCCCUUUUCUUAUAUAAUAAAAUGAAUUUUAAAUGAAAAUACUUUAAAAUAGAACUAAGGCGAGCUUGAUAAAGUACAUAAAAGAAAAAUUAUAAAAUUAAAAUGAAAAAUACAAAAAAACUCUGAAAAAAUAAUAAAACUAACUA